UUACUACCACCCUUGGGCUCCGGGCCAGGGGCAAUACUACCACCAGAAGCCUGAGGCCCACGGACCUCACUACAACCCUUGGGCUCAGGCCCAGGGACCUUACUACUACCUCCAGGCCCAGGGACCUUACAACAAGCCCAGGCCCAAGCCCAAGCCUCAUCACCCAAAACCCAGUUUCUCAGACACGGACUCGCUAUCGGAAUCAGACAUAGAAUGGGACUAGCAAUCUAACAAGAGCAGAUGGGGUGCUCUGUGAUGGACUGACCCAACACCUCCAGAAGAGCAAUGUCUUUUCAAUGUGGACACUUUUGAGCUGACUCAUGGAAAAAUAAAAAUGCAAUGCAUGAAAUGUGUAAAUGA